UUUAUACUCGCUCCAUCCGAAAAUACUUGUCCUCGAAAUGGUUGUAUCUAGACUUAUUUUAGUUAUAGAUACAUCCAUUUUAUCCAUUUCUACGACAAGUAUUUCCGGACGGAGGGAGUACCUA
rnacentral:pre_miRNA from 1 species